GAAUCAAAUCAUAAUCACCCUUAUUAAAAGGAGCCGGACAGCAUGGGUAGCACCACAAUGGGCGUGAAACUC
rnacentral:sRNA from 1 species